UACAGAGGGUGCAAGCGUUAAUCGGAAUUACUGGGCGUAAAGCGUGCGUAGACGGUUAUGUAAGUCAGAUGUGAAAGCCCCCGGGCUCAACCUGGGAAUUGCAUUUGAGACUGCAUAGCUAGGGUGCGGAAGAGGGAAGCGGAAUUUCCGGUGUAGCGGUGAAAUGCGUAGAUAUCAGGAGGAACACCGAUGGCGAAGGCAGGUCUCUGGGCUGACACUGACGCUCAUGCACGAAAGCGUGGGGAGCAAACAGG
rnacentral:rRNA from 1 species